rnacentral:rRNA from 1 species
CUACGGGUGGCAGCAGUGAGGAAUAUUGCGCAAUGGGGGAAACCCUGACGCAGCGACGCCGCGUGGAUGAUGAAGGCCUUCGGGUCGUAAAAUCCUGUCAGAAGGAAAGAAGUAUAUGGUAGCUAAUAUCUGCCAUAUUUGACGGUACCUUCAAAGGAAGCACCGGCUAGCGUCCGUGCCAGCAGCCGCGGUAAUACGGAGGGUGCAAGCGCUGUUCGGAAUUACUGGGCGCAAAGCGCGCGUAGGCGGCUGUUUAAGUCAGAUGUGAAAGCCCAUGGCUUAACCAUGGACGUGCAUUUGAUACUGGGCAGCUUGAGUACUGGAGGGGGUGGUGGAAUUCCCGGUGUAGAGGUGAAAUUCGUAGAUAUCGGGAGGAAUACCGGUGGCGAAGGCGACCACCUGGCCAGAUACUGACGCUGAGGUGCGAAAGCGUGGGGAGCAAACAGGAUUAGAUACCCCAGUAGUC